rnacentral:rRNA from 1 species
UAGUGGCGAACGGGUGAGUAACACGUGGGCAAUCUGCCCUUCACUCUGGGACAAGCCCUGGAAACGGGGUCUAAUACCGGAUAUCACUUCUGCUCGCAUGGGUGGGGGUUGAAAGCUCCGGCGGUGAAGGAUGAGCCCGCGGCCUAUCAGCUUGUUGGUGAGGUAGUGGCUCACCAAGGCGACGACGGGUAGCCGGCCUGAGAGGGCGACCGGCCACACUGGGACUGAGACACGGCCCAGACUCCUACGGGAGGCAGCAGUGGGGAAUAUUGCACAAUGGGCGGAAGCCUGAUGCAGCGACGCCGCGUGAGGGAUGACGGCCUUCGGGUUGUAAACCUCUUUCAGCAGGGAAGAAGCGUAAGUGACGGUACCUGCAGAAGAAGCGCCGGCUAACUACGUGCCAGCAGCCCGCGGUAAUACGUAGGGCGCAAGCGUUGUCCGGAAUUAUUGGGCGUAAAGAGCUCGUAGGCGGCUUGUCACGUCGGGUGUGAAAGCCCGGGGCUUAACCCCGGGUCUGCAUUCGAUACGGGCUGGCUGGAGUGUGGUAGGGGAGAUCGGAUUNCU